CCUACGGGAUGCACCAGUGGGGAAUAUUGCACAAUGGGCGCAAGCCUGAUGCAGCCAUGCCGCGUGUAUGAAGAAGGCCUUCGGGUUGUAAAGUACUUUCAGCGAGGAGGAAGGCAUUAAGGUUAAUAACCUUAGUGAUUGACGUUACUCGCAGAAGAAGCACCGGCUAACUCCGUGCCAGCAGCCGCGGUAAUACGGAGGGUGCAAGCGUUAAUCGGAAUUACUGGGCGUAAAGCGCACGCAGGCGGUCUGUCAAGUCGGAUGUGAAAUCCCCGGGCUCAACCUGGGAACUGCAUUCGAAACUGGCAGGCUAGAGUCUUAUAGAGGGGGGUAGAAUUCCAGGUGUAGCGGUGAAAUGCGUAGAGAUCUGGAGGAAUACCGGUGGCGAAGGCGGCCCCCUGACAAAGACUGACGCUCAGGUGCGAGAGCGGGGGGAGCAAACAGGAUUAGAUACCCCCGUAGUC
rnacentral:rRNA from 1 species